AUGAAACGCUAGCGGCAGGCCUAAUACAUGCAAGUCGAACGGUAAGUAGAGUAGCAAUACUUUGCCUAGAGUGACGUACGGGUGCGUAACACGUAUGCAACCUACCUGUAACAGGAGGAUAGCUCGGGGAAACCCGAAUUAACCCUCCAUAAUAUAAUUGAAUGGCAUCAUUUGAUUAUUAAAACUGAGGUGGUUACAGAUGGGGCAUGCGUCUGAUUAGUUAGUUGGCGGGGUUAAAGGCCCACCAAGACGAUGAUCAGUAGGGGAACUGAGUGGUUGAUCCCCCACACUGGCACUGAGAUACGGGCCAGACUCCUACGGGAGGCAGCAAUAGGGAAUAUUGGUCAAUGGAUGCAAGUCUGAACCAGCCAUGGCCGCGUGCAGGAAGAAGGCCUUCCUGGGUUGUAAACUGCUUUUGUCAGGGGAUAAAACGACCAUGCGUGGUUAAUUGAAGGUACCUGAUGAAUAAGCCACGGCUAACUACGUGCCAGCAGCCGCGGUAAUACGUAGGUGGCAAGCGUUGUCCGGAUUUAUUGGGUUUUAAAGGGUGCGUAGGCGGCCUUGUAAGUCAGUGGUGAAAUACUCCAGCUUAACUGGAGGGGUGCCAAUGAUACUGCAGGGCUUGAGUACAGAUGAGGUAGGCGGAAUUGACGGUUUGUAGCGGUGAAAUGCAUAGAUAUCGUCAAGAACACCGAUAGCGAAGGCAGCUUACUGGGCUGUAACUGACGCUGAGGCACGAAAGUGUGGGGAUCAAAACAGGAUUAGAUACCCUGGUAGUCCACACUGUAAACGUUGAUGACUCGCUGUUUGCGAUAUACAGCAAGCGGGCCUUAGCGAAAGCGAUAAGUCAUCCCACCUGGGGAGUACGCCGGCAACGGUGAAACUCAAAGGAAUUGACGGGGGGUCCGCACAAGCGGUGGAGCAUGUGGUUUAAUUCGAUGAUACGCGAGGAACCUUACCUGGGCUAGAAUGCCCUUGACUGGUGCAGAGAUGCAUCGUUCAGCAAUGACAAGGAGCAAGGUGCUGCAUGGUUUGUCGUCAGCCUCGUGCCGUGAGGUGUUGGGUUAAGUCCCGCAACGGAGCGCAAACCCCUAUUUCCAGUUGCCAGCAUGUAAUGGUGGGGACUCUGGAAAGACUGCCUGCGCAAGCAGAGAGGAAGGAGGGGAUGGACGUCAAGUCAUCAUGGCCCUUACGCCCAGGGCUACACACGUGCUACAAUGCCAUAUACAAAGUGUUGCGACCUGGUGACAGGAAGCCAAUCACAAAAAGUAUGUCUCAGUUUCGGAUUGGCAGGCUGCAAACACGCCUGCAUGAAGUUGGAAAUCGCUAGCAAUCGCAAAUCAGCAAUGUUGCGGUGAAUACGUUCCCCGGACCUUGUACACACCGCCCCGUCAAGCCAUGGGAGUUGGGAGGGACCUGAAGCCAGUUGCUGAGAGGCGCUGUUUAGGGUUAAAACCGAUGACUAGGGCU
rnacentral:rRNA from 1 species